CCCUAGUAAACAUACUGCCUGUGCUCCACCCACAUCUCUUUGGAGCCUGUUUACCAGUUCUGGCCAUCCUCUUGCCCUGCGUGUUUGCUGGAGGCUGCCCUUGGGCUACUGGAGGGGCUUUGUGGCACACAGGGAUGGAAGUGCUUGGGAUUUGAUGACCCACUAGAUCAGGGUGUAGCCAAGGACUGACUGAGUGUUCCCAGCUCUUUUCUUUGAACUAUGGAUCUAUUGCUGUGGGAUGGAGCACAGUCCUGUCCUCGAAGGACUUGCACUUAAUUUUUGGUGCCUGGCCUGGGAUCCCCUCCACUCAGCAAUGGAGAACUUCCCUCAUAUUAAAUCCCUCUCACCCUUUGAAUCUCUCUUGCUUCUUCUGCUACCAACUGGAUACAACUCUCUGCUUUGAAAGGGCCCACGUGAUUGGAAUAGGACCAUUGGAACAAUCUCCCUAUUUCAAGGUAACUUCCCUAAACUUAAUUGCACUGUGAAGUCCCCCCCUUUUUUUUCCAUGUAAAGCAGCAUAAGCAUGGACAUGAUAUCCCAUCAUAUUCACGGUCCUGUGGAACAGAGAAGGAAAUCCUGGGGGGCCAUAUUAGAAUUCAGCCCAGCAUGCAAGGGAACCAUUAAGAUCAGAAUAAAGGCAACAGUGGGGAUGCCAAGAUCCAGUGUG